CCUCCUCUUCCCGCGCUCUCACUAAGCAAAUUUUGGCGAUGAAAAAAUUGCAGAGGUUAGGGAAGUAAGAAGAGUGAAGAACACUCAUCAUUUUCCUUUACAUGAUUCGCACCUGCACUCCGUUUCCAUUGGUGUGAUUGUGAAUGGGGGACUCCAAACGAUGGACGGUGACCUACACAAAACACAUCAAGCAGAAACGCAAGGUGUAUCAGGAUGGAUUCCUAGAGCUCCACGUUUCCACCAGCAAGGUUAAGCUGUAUGAUGAGUGCGAGAAAUUGUUGGAGUGUCGGCUCUUGAAGAACGACGAAAUUGUUACCUCUGGUGAAACGUUGAUUUUCAAUGGUUACCUUGUUGACAUUGGCGAUCCCGAGGGAGGCAACAAGCCUGAAUCUGAUUUGAAUGUUGAUAGGAAACUCAAGAAUUAUUCGAGAUUCAGGACUCCUUCUGAUGGUGCGAAAAAUACCAAAAUGAAUGAGAAGGAGAAUGUUGGACAAGUGCGAAGACCUCUUAGUCCAUCACAAAAAGUUAUCAGAGAAUUUAAGAAGAGAGAACUGCUUAAGUAUGGAUCACCAAAGAUCAGUCAGGAAACACCAAAAACUAGUACUGAAGAAUGGUUUGUUCUAUACACCACACAAGUGACUCAAAAGGCAAAGAAGUACCAUGAUGGUUUUUUACGUCUGGUUCUUCGUGGAUCCAGCGGGGUGCAGGUUAUGCUGUUUGACACAAGCAGGAAACUCUUAGAUAGUAGAUUCCUUAAGAAAGAUGAUGUAAUAAAAUCUGGUGAAUCAAUUGCAUUUGAUUCAUAUUUGAUUGACAUUGGUGAGCAGCAAGGAAGUUGUACACCGGAUUCCAAUGUUCUAGCAGACAAGUGUACUAAUGUUAAGGCAAUGAAGAUGGGCAGACAGAAAACUUCUCUCAAAACUGAUACCCAUGUAAAUGUUGGAAAAGGUGAAUGGCAGGUCCUAUAUACUACACGAUUAACUAAAAACACCAAGAAAUAUCAUGAUGGCUUUUUACACAUUGAACUUUGUGGAUCUUUUGGGAAGCAGGUUGUUUUGUAUGAUUUGAGCAAAAGACCUUUAGAACGCAGGUUCCUAAGGAAAGAUGAAGUUAUAAGGGAAGGUGAAUCAGUAUAUUUUGAUGGACAUUUAGUAGAAGUAGGAGAACAUGAAGGAAGUCAUCACUCUCCAGUGAAGUUAAAUGAACGAGGGACUGGUAAUAAUGUUGUUGAAAGGAGACAACUAGGACAUGGACAAAAUGGCUUCCACAACGUCUGUCCAUCUUUUGCUAAAGGAAAACCGCCAAGUGAGCUUUGUCCGGGGCAAGAUUCAGGAUUGAACUCUCUGAUUACCGAGCUAGAAGAGAUAAAAUCAAACAGGAUAACCCCACCAAUCAAGCCUUUACGCGAUGCCAAUCAAAUAUUGUCCAUUUUACAGAAUCCUAAUCUGAAGCCUCAGAAGAGUUAUGUAACAGGAGACCGAUCGCCCAAUGGGUCUCACCAAAAUAUUGGGGAUAGGGAAUCAGCUGCGACUGCGAAAUCCCUUGAUAUUAAGUCUUCCGGAGCAUGUAGUGGUGGUAGUUUCCAAUUCACCGAGAAUGUCAACAUGUCCCACCAGUCCCACUCUCAGAAGGAUGCCCCGACAAAUACGAGUGAGACAGAUUGUGAUUGUCAACCCAGCCUUACUUUAUUUGGUGAGGAGUUCUCGUGUGAAAGCGAAACAUUUGGAAGCUUUGACCUUGGAUUUUAACAGCAGCUCCGUACAUCAGCUUUCACUUUUGGAGUGAAAUUUGAGAGGGGUGUGAGGAAAAAAAGGGGCAGUAUGCAGGCCAUGCAUCUUUUUUAAUUGCAGGGUUGUCCUUGAAAACUCUGGUCGGGUUAUCAAAACCACUUGGAUUCUUCCAUUAAGAAUUAAGAAAUGUUUGGCAUUCUUUUUGAGGCUGAGAGUCGUAUUUUGAGGCUUGAUUUUGUUUAGUGGCCGAAUGCAAAAAGAACAUUGAUUAAACAAAACAACCCUACAAGAAUAAAAAAGAAAGAACUAAAUUUCAUUCUAAUUUUUAUAAUUUUCAGUGUUUGGUCAUUUUAGCCUCUUAACAAAAUUCUUAUUUAGUCACUAAUUUUACAAAUUGUUAUUCAUUGGUGCAAAAUGAAGUAGCGAAUGAAUAAAAUUUUUCAAAGUUAGCGAUUAAAAGAUCAAUUGAAAUGGGGAUUUAAGAAAAUGAUGGCCAGAAAUUCACGAAUUUAAAAAAUGACCACGUUUUCAGAAGUGUCAUCUAGUAAUAAUACUUGAAACCUCUCGAUUUAUAUUUUAUUUUAUUCACAAGAUAUAUUUCUUAAUGAAUAAUAUUUUAUAUAAUGUUAUUUUGUUAAUGAAUAUUUUACAUUUUGUUUAUAUCAGGAUAUGA